GCUCCUGUCGUUCAAUGGAUAGGACGCUCCCCUCCGAAGGGAGCGAUGCAGGUUCGAUUCCUGCCAGGAGCACAA
rnacentral:tRNA from 1 species